UACGUAGGGGGCAAGCGUUGUCCGGAUUUACUGGGCGUAAAGGGCGCGUAGGCGGUCAGCACAAGUCAGUUGUGAAAUCUCCGGGCUUAACUCGGAAAGGUCAACUGAUACUGUGCGACUAGAGUGCGGAAGGGGCAACUGGAAUUCUUGGUGUAGCGGUGAAAUGCGUAGAUAUCAAGAGGAACACCUGCGGCGAAGGCGGGUUGCUGGGCCGACACUGACGCUGAGGCGCGAAAGCCAGGGGAGCGAACGGG
rnacentral:rRNA from 1 species